AUGUGGAAAAUCUGUGUAGAAACUUUCUUUGGUCUUGUCAUGAUACGUUCAACAAGAGGGUUCCUAUUUCCUGGGAACAUACUUGUGAUCAUGUGUAUGCAGAAGGUCAUAUUCAAGCAUAGAGAUGUUUUAAUUAACUCUUCUGUUUGGAAUAUAUUUCACGUGUCAGGAGUUUAUGUCACGAGAGAUAUGUACCAUGAGAAACAAGGUGAUAGUCCAAAACAACAACAAAGAUGGCUUGAGACUUCAAGAGAUAAAGGAUAUUAUUUUGUGGCGUGUGGAAAGGGAUACAAAAUUGACUGA